GUCGGCGAUGCAGGCAGCUGUACCUGCACUCAGUACCUUCACUCCCAAAGGAGGAGGAACAUCAGAUGGCUUCAGUCCCACCAUGAUCACAGCUUCAUGCAAGAGAACAGAACCACGAGUGAUCAAUUAAGAGGAAAAAAGGCAGGAGGCUCGACCGGGCUCUCGGCCAAUCACUAUUCGGCUCUCUGACCAAGCACUCUGGGCUUUGUAAGGAUGAUUGGAUGCCCUGUGGAGUGAUGUUUAUUGCAUAUUAUGAAAGUGUUCAUAUGGGUGGUGAAGGAGGUAGACAUGCUAAUACCAGUCAGAGCCUGCUUCAGAGAGAGAACACCCGAAUGACGUCUGUGACUGAAGUUCAUCAGGAGACAGAUAAGGUUCUUGCUUCACUGCAUGUUUUCUCAAUGGAGUGACUACGUAAAAAAAAGUGCUGCACUCACGCAUGACCUUCUCACUGUUGCAAGAGUUUAAUCUAUUGGCCCUGAAUAACUAAAAAGCAUCUUUCCUAUGUGACAUUUUCCCAGUGAAAGUGUCUGAGCUACACCGUGACCCUACGGCGGAGAAUUAAUCGAAGACUUAAUCACAGUUUCGCUUAUAGCAAGAUCUAUGAUGAAAAGUUGGAUAUCUGUUGGAUAUCACUACGGAAAAGCAUCAGGGCCAGCAAGUGAUUGGAUUCUGGUGUUUGGAUUAGAUUACAUCUUUAAAUGCCACUAACAUAUCCCGGAAGGAUAAUUCAACCUCAGGACAAGGGGAGGUUAAUAGACAACUUAGAGACAGGGAAGGUUCAGGGAUUUUAAUCUAGACAUACAGCAAGAGUACUGCAG